GGUGAACGCUGGCGGCGUGCUUAAGACAUGCAAGACGAACGGCAGUCUUCGGACUGUAGUGGCGCACGGGUGAGUAACGCGUAACUGACCUACCCCAAAGUCGCGGAUAACGAUUCGAAAGAAUCGCUAAUACGUGAUGUGCUGUCAGAUUGUGUUCUGCCAGUAAAGAUUGAUUGCUUUGGGAUGGGGUUGCGUUCCAUCAGCUAGUUGGUGGGGUAAAGGCCCACCAAGGCGACGACGGAUAGCCGGCCUGAGAGGGUGGCCGGCCACAGGGGCACUGAGACACGGGUCCCACUCCUACGGGAGGCAGCAGUUAGGAAUCUUCCACAAUGGGCGAAAGCCUGAUGGAGCGACGCCGCGUGAGGGGUGAAGGUCUUCGGAUCGUAAACCUCUGAAUCAGGGACGAAAGACACUUCGGUGGGAUGACGGUACCUGAGUAAUAGCACCGGCUAACUCCGUGCCAGCCGCCGCGGUAACAC
rnacentral:rRNA from 1 species